rnacentral:tRNA from 1 species
GGCUGCUUGGCUAAAGGGUACAGCGUCGCACUUGUAUUCGGAAAAAAACUUUCUGAUAGAGAUGCGAAGACCGGGAGUUCGAAAUCUCCCAGUAACCU